rnacentral:rRNA from 1 species
UACAGAGGGGGCAAGCGUUGUUCGGAAUUACUGGGCGUAAAGGGCGCGUAGGCGGCCCGCUAAGUCGAACGUGAAAUCCCCGAGCUCAACUCGGGAACUGCGUCCGAUACUGGCGGGCUUGAAUCCGGGAGAGGGAUGCGGAAUUCCAGGUGUAGCGGUGAAAUGCGUAGAUAUCUGGAGGAACACCGGUGGCGAAGGCGGCAUCCUGGACCGGCAUUGACGCUGAGGCGCGAAAGCUAGGGGAGCAAACGGA